UACGAAGGGGCUAGCGUUGUUCGGAAUUACUGGGCGUAAAGGGCGCGUAGGCGGUACUUCAAGUCAGGCGUGAAAGCCCCGGGCUCAACCUGGAACCGCGCUUGAGACUGGAGAACUAGAGUUCGGAGAGGAUGGUGGAAUUCCCAGUGUAGAGGUGAAAUUCGUAGAUAUUGGGAAGAACACCGAUGGCGAACGGACAGCCAUCUGGACCGACACUGACGCUGAGGCGCGAAAGCGUGGGGAGCAAACAGG
rnacentral:rRNA from 1 species